AACGAACGCUGGCGGCAGGCUUAACACAUGCAAGUCGAACGCAUCCUUCGGGGUGAGUGGCAGACGGGUGAGUAACGCGAGGGAAUCUACCUCUUUCUACGGGAUAGCUCCGGGAAACUGGAAUUAAUACCGUAUGUGGCCUAUGGGCGAAAGAUUUAUCGGCAAGGGAUGAGCCCGCGUUGGAUUAGCUAGUUGGUGGGGUAAAGGCCUACCAAGGCGACGAUCCAUAGCUGGUCUGAGAGGAUGAUCAGCGACAUUGGGACUGAGACACGGCCCAAACUCCUACGGGAGGCAGCAGUGGGGAAUAUUGGACAAUGGGCGAAAGCCUGAUCCAGCAAUGCCGCGUGAGUGAUGAAGGCCUUAGGGUUGUAAAGCUCUUUUACCCGGGAUGAUAAUGACAGUACCGGGAGAAUAAGCCCCGGCUAACUCCGUGCCAGCCGCCGCCGUAA
rnacentral:rRNA from 1 species